UACGGAGGGUGCAAGCGUUAAUCGGAAUUACUGGGCGUAAAGCGUGCGUAGGCGGUUCGUUAAGUCUGUUGUGAAAGCCCCGGGCUCAACCUGGGAAUGGCAAUGGAUACUGGCGAGCUAGAGUGUGUCAGAGGAUGGUGGAAUUCCCGGUGUAGCGGUGAAAUGCGUAGAGAUCGGGAGGAACAUCAGUGGCGAAGGCGGCCAUCGUGGGACAACACUGACGCUGAGGCACGAAAGCGUGGGGAGCAAACAGG
rnacentral:rRNA from 1 species